rnacentral:rRNA from 1 species
GAUGAACGCUGGCGGCGUGCCUAAUACAUGCAAGUCGAGCGAACAGAUGAGGAGCUUGCUCCUCUGACGUUAGCGGCGGACGGGUGAGUAACACGUGGAUAACCUACCUAUAAGACUGGGAUAACUUCGGGAAACCGGAGCUAAUACCGGAUAAUAUAUUGAACCGCAUGGUUCAAUAGUGAAAGACGGUUUUGCUGUCACUUAUAGAUGGAUCCGCGCCGCAUUAGCUAGUUGGUAAGGUAACGGCUUACCAAGGCAACGAUGCGUAGCCGACCUGAGAGGGUGAUCGGCCACACUGGAACUGAGACACGGUCCAGACUCCUACGGGAGGCAGCAGUAGGGAAUCUUCCGCAAUGGGCGAAAGCCUGACGGAGCAACGCCGCGUGAGUGAUGAAGGUCUUCGGAUCGUAAAACUCUGUUAUUAGGGAAGAACAAAUGUGUAAGUAACUAUGCACGUCUUGACGGUACCUAAUCAGAUAGCCACGGCUAACUACGUG